rnacentral:antisense_RNA from 1 species
AUCAUUUCUUCUGCUUACUACCAUCCUAAAUCAUUUUUCUUUAGUAAGAUCUAUUAGUGUGAAGCUAUUAAGCUAUUAAUGUAAGUAUCAUAUUAAUGUAUUAAGAUAUUAAGUGAGGAAGUAAAGUUGCAUUCAUAGGCCUUGAACUUUUCCACAUCUCGAUUUUUACCCAUCAUCUCUGCAUAUUUUCCUAAGGCAGCCUUCAAAUGGUGAUGUUUCCUGUCAUCCAGAGUUCAGAAGUGCCUUCUCUUCAACCUUUCUGUGGAAUUCUAAACCACGUGAUAAAGGAGCUGGUGAGCCAGAUUUCCUUCUGCACCAGAGCCUGUGGAAGCGCCACAGCGGAAGCACAGAGACUGGAAGAGCAGGCAAGAAGCUGGGAGCUUUGCACUGAACCAGGAAGACAUCACAGCUCUUAGGCGAAGACCCGGAAAGGUGUCAACAUGGCCACACUACUGCUCCCACCUUGUCCUUAUUUUCCUCAUCUCUCCCCACAGGCCACAGAUCAGCCCUGGGGUUCAGAGGGAUCCUGACGGCUACUCCUCAAGAUCCUCUCUGUUGUGAUUCAUCCCCCCCAGGCCCUACAGUUUCUCCUUCCUGACUCUUACAUUUCUUUGGAUGGCAUCACUAUUGCUGGAGUGCAGUGGUGUGAUCUCAGCUCACUGCAACCCCUGCCUCCUGGAUUCAAGCAAUUCUCCUGCCUCAGCCUCCCAAGUAGCUGGGAUUGCAGUACCUGUCUCCUCCCAUAGUUAGUUGCCAAGCACUGUGGAUUCUACCCCUCAGGGUCCAGACACCCAUUU